GUAUACGAGGGAACGCUGUACAUUGUGCAGAGGAAAGUCCGGACAGGCACGGGCUGCGAUGCCCGUAGUGAUUGCGCGUGACCUAAGAAGUCACGGAAGGAAGCUCAUUCCUUACGGCGGCAAAACCGACUCUGUCUGAGUUGGCGGUAGCCUGAAAGUGCCACAGAAACGAAACGUUCCGGCGACGGAACGAUGCAAGGGUAAACCCCGCAAGCCUGAAACUCAAAUUACGGUAGAGGAACCCUAGGAAGGGAAUAAAACCAGAUUAGGGCGCAUGAAACUGCGAGAUAAAUGUUUCCUAAAACAGAAUCCGGCUUACGGUA
rnacentral:RNase_P_RNA from 2 species